rnacentral:misc_RNA from 1 species
AAAUAUUUUAAAAAAAAAAAUCUUGCAAAACAAAAAAGAACUGCUUAUUACUUUUGCAAAAUUUCAAGGACUAAAAAAGGGUAAUAAUAAAUUGAUAUACUUUGCAAAAAUUUAGUUUUCCAAUUUCAGGGGCAAAUUGACCUUUGUUCCAUAGACAAUCCUAGAGAUUGCAAAGCAACCAAUAAGAAUAGCCAUCAUAAUAAAAUCAAAAAAAUUGCCAUGAGAAAGAUACAAGCAAAAGUCUACAAGAAAUUCUCC